GUGUUUGUGCUCUGGCUGUGGCUGCAGUUUUGUGUGGUAUUUAUUAUUACUGCCAGCGCAAGACGCGUAAACAGGCAGAUGAAGGCGAUGAACCUGACGGAGAGGAACUCAAGAGCCUAAAAGGUGUAGUUCCUGGAAACAAUGGGGAUGUUCAUCAGCCAAACCAUG